UACGUAGGGGGCGAGCGUUGUCCGGAUUUACUGGGCGUACAGGGAGCGUAGGCGGUUGGAUAAGCCCUCCGUGAAAUCUCCAGGCUUAACCUGGAAAGUGCAGAGGGGACUGUUCAGCUAGAGGAUGGGAGAGGAGCGCGGAAUUCCCGGUGUAGCGGUGAAAUGCGUAGAGAUCGGGAGGAAGGCCGGUGGCGAAGGCGGCGCUCUGGAACAUUUCUGACGCUGAGGCUCGAAAGCGUGGGGAGCAAACAGG
rnacentral:rRNA from 1 species